rnacentral:rRNA from 1 species
CGGACGCUGGCGGCGUGCCUAAUACAUGCAAGUCGAGCGAGCUGAAUUCAAAGAUCCCUUCGGGGUGAUUUGUUGGACGCUAGCGGCGGAUGGGUGAGUAACACGUGGGCAAUCUGCCCUAAAGACUGGGAUACCACUUGGAAACAGGUGCUAAUACCGGAUAACAACAUGAAUCGCAUGAUUCAAGUUUGAAAGGCGGCGCAAGCUGUCACUUUAGGAUGAGCCCGCGGCGCAUUAGCUAGUUGGUGGGGUAAAGGCCUACCAAGGCAAUGAUGCGUAGGUCGAGUUGAGAGACUGAUACGGCCACAUUGGGA